rnacentral:rRNA from 1 species
CGCUGGCGGCAGGCCUAACACAUGCAAGUCGAGCGGAUGACAGGAGCUUGCUCCUGAAUUCAGCGGCGGACGGGUGAGUAAUGCCUAGGAAUCUGCCUGGUAGUGGGGGACAACGUUUCGAAAGGAGCGCUAAUACCGCAUACGUCCUACGGGAGAAAGCAGGGGACCUUCGGGCCUUGCGCUAUCAGAUGAGCCUAGGUCGGAUUAGCUAGUUGGUGAGGUAAUGGCUCACCAAGGCGACGAUCCGUAACUGGUCUGAGAGGAUGAUCAGUCACACUGGAACUGAGACACGGUCCAGACUCCUACGGGAGGCAGCAGUGGGGAAUAUUGGACAAUGGGCGAAAGCCUGAUCCAGCCAUGCCGCGUGUGUGAAGAAGGUCUUCGGAUUGUAAAGCACUUUAAGUUGGGAGGAAGGGCAGUAACUUAAUACGUUGCUGUUUUGACGUUACCGACAGAAUAAGCACCGGCU